rnacentral:rRNA from 1 species
UACAGAGGGGGCAAGCGUUGUUCGGAAUUACUGGGCGUAAAGGGCGCGUAGGCGGCCCGCUAAGUCGAACGUGAAAUCCCCGAGCUCAACUCGGGAACUGCGUCCGAUACUGGUGGGCUUGAAUCCGGGAGAGGGAUGCGGAAUUCCAGGUGUAGCGGUGAAAUGCGUAGAUAUCAGGAGGAACACCGGUGGCGAAGGCGGGUCUCUGGGCAACAACUGACGCUGAGGAGCGAAAGCGUGGGAGCGAACAGG